AAGUCGUAACAAGGUUUCGUAGGUGAACCUGCGGAAGGAUCAUUACUAGAGCAAAGGAUAGACAGCGCCCGUGGAGCUCGCUCCCGGGGCCACCCUACUCCGGUAGGGUUUAGAGUCGUCGAGCCUCUCGAAGAAGCUCGGUCCUGAACUCCACCCUUGAAUAAACUACCUUUGUUGCUUUGGCGGGCCGCCUCGUGCCAGCGGCUUCGGCUGUUGAGUGCCCGCCAGAGGACCACAACUCUUGUUUUUAGUGAUGUCUGAGUACUAUAUAAUAGUUAAAACUUUCAACAACGGAUCUCUUGGUUCUGGCAUCGAUGAAGAACGCAGCGAAAUGCGAUAAGUAAUGUGAAUUGCAGAAUUCAGUGAAUCAUCGAAUCUUUGAACGCACAUUGCGCCCUCUGGUAUUCCGGGGGGCAUGCCUGUUCGAGCGUCAUUAUAACCACUCAAGCUCUCGCUUGGUAUUGGGGUUCGCGGUUUCGCGGCCCCUAAAAUCAGUGGCGGUGCCUGUCGGCUCUACGCGUAGUAAUACUCCUCGCGAUUGAGUCCGGUAGGUUUACUUGCCAGCAACCCUAAUUUUAAGGUUGACCUCGGAUCAGGUAGGGAUACCCGCUGAACUUAAGCAUAUCAAUA
rnacentral:rRNA from 1 species